UCAACACACCUUCUUCUCGGUUGGCACCCGAAUGAAGGUUCGUGUCUUAAGUCUUUGGUUUGCUGCGAUUCAGUUUCUUCGUGUACGCCGUCAGUGCUGGUUGUGUUUAGCGGAUGGAAGAAAGCGUCUGCUGCCUCUUAUGGACUAAGCUGAAAACAAAAAUAAAUUUGCAAGUUAAAACUGUUGGAAAUAAAUUAAACUGUAUUACAAGAACAACGAAAAGCUGGACACUGCGAAUUUUUGGGUGUAUAAAUGCGCGAAAAAACGCAUGAACCAGUUAGAGCGAUU